rnacentral:tRNA from 1 species
GGGCCUGUAGCUCAAUUGGUUAGAGCGCGCAUCUGAUAAGUGCGAGGUUGAUGGUUCAAUUCCAUCCGGGCCUA